AGAGCGUAGGGAGAAUGCCUUGGCAUUAGGAGCCGAUGAAGGACGUGAUAAGCUGCGAUAAGCUGCGGGGAUCAGCAAGUAUGAAUUGAUCCGCAGAUUUCCGAAUGGAGCAAUCCGUAUGUGUAUGCACAUACAUCAUAUACUGAAUCAAAUAGGUAUAUGAGGGGAACCGCCUGAACUGAAACAUCUAAGUAGGGCGAGGAAGAGAAAUCAACCGAGAUUCUGUGAGUAGUGGCGAGCGAAAGCGGAAGAGGCUAAACCAUAGGUAGCAAUACUUAUGGGGUUUCGGACAGCAUUUAGUAUUGAUAAUUUCUAGUUGAAACGUGUGGGAAAACGUACCGAAGAGUGUGAGAGUCACGUAAGCGAAAGAGAGAGUCAGCGAGCUGUAUCCAAAGUACCGCGGGACACGUGAAACCCCGUGGGAAGAUGGGGGGACCAUCCUCCAAGCCUAAAUACUACCUAAUGACCGAUAGCGAAUAGUACUGUGAAGGAACGGUGAAAAGAACCCCGGGAGGGGAGUGAAAAAGAACCUGAAACCCUAUGCUUACAAGCACCGAGAGCACGUCAAAGUGUGAUCGGGUACCUUUUGUAGAAUGGUCCGGCGAGUUAUUGUAUGCGGCAAGGUUAAGUGCUUAAGGCACGGAGCCGAAGCGAGAGCAAGUCUGAACAGGGCGAAAAAGUCGUAUGCAAUAGACCCGAAACCGAGUGACCUAUCCAUGUCCAGGCUGAAGUGGAGGUAAAACUCCAUGGAGGGCCGAACACACGUCCGUUGAAAAGGCCGGUGAUGAGGUGUGGAUAGCGGAGAAAUUCCAAUCGAACUCGGAUAUAGCUGGUUCUCUCCGAAAUAGCUUUAGGGCUAGCCUCGUGAAAGAUUACUGGAGGUAAAGCACUGAAUGGGCUAGGGGUCGAAAGAUUACUGAACCCUAUCAAACUAAGAAUGCCAGAUAAUUGAUUCACGGGAGUCAGACAAUGUGAGAUAAGUCUCAUUGUCAAAAGGGAAACAGCCCAGACCCACAGCUAAGGUCCCUAAACAUUGUUAAGUGGAAAAGGAUGUGGGGUUGCAUAAACAACCAGGAUGUUGGCUUAGAAGCAGCCACUCAUUAAAAGAGUGCGUAAUAGCUCACUGGUCGAGUGACCCUGCGCCGAAAAUUCAACGGGGCUAAACAAUGUACCGAAGCUUGGGAUUCUAAAGUAAUUUAGAGUGGUAGGAGAGCGUCGAAUAAGGGGUGAAGUCAGAGCGGAAGCGCUGGUGGACUUUAUUCGAGUGAGAAUGCCGGAAUGAGUAGCGAGAAUUAUGUGAGAAUCAUAAUGGCCGAAAAUCUAAGGUUUCCUGAGGAAGGUUCGUCCGCUCAGGGUAAGCCGGGGGCUAAGGCGAGGCGGAGACGCGUAGCCGAUGCACAUACGGUUGAAAUUCCGUAGCCACCGAAAGAUUUAAGUACAGGGACGCUUUAGAAGUGAUGUUGCCGGGCGAUGGUUGACCCGGUCGUAAGGGAUCGAAAAUGAGUAGAGAAGUCAUCAUGGAAAGAGACAAGAAAAGCUGUAUGAAUAUCUUAGGUGCCCGUACCGCAAACCGACACAGGUAGAUAGGAAGAAGAUUCUAAGGCCAACGGGAGAAGGGUUGUUAAGGAACUCGGCAAGUUGACCCCGUAACUUAGGGAUAAGGGGUGCUCAAGUGAUUGAGCCGCAGAGAAUAGGCCCAGGCGACUGUUUAGCAAAAACACAGGUCUCUGCUAAAUCGAAAGAUGACGUAUAGGGGCUGACACCUGCCCGGUGCCGGAAGGUUAAGAGGAGAUGUGAGAGCAUUGAAUUGAAGCCCCGGUAAACGGCGGCCGUAACUAUAACGGUCCUAAGGUAGCGAAAUUCCUUGUCAGGUAAGUUCUGACCCGCACGAAAGGUGUAACGAUCUGGGCACUGUCUCAACAACCCGCCCGGCGAAAUUGUAGUACCGGUGAAGAUGCCGGUUACCCGCGACUAGACGGAAAGACCCCAUGGAGCUUUACUGUAGCCUAAUAUUGGAUUUCGGUAUUUCACGUACAGGAUAGGUGGGAGACUGGGAAGCACAGGCGUCAGCUUGUGUGGAGUCGACCUUGGGAUACCACUCUUGGAGUGCUGGAAUUCUAACCUGCGGCUUUGAAGCAAGUCGGGGGACAUUGUUAGGUGGGCAGUUUGACUGGGGCGGUCGCCUCCUAAAGA
rnacentral:rRNA from 1 species